AACGAACGCUGGCGGCAUGCCUAACACAUGCAAGUCGAACGAGACCUUCGGGUCUAGUGGCGCACGGGUGCGUAACGCGUGGGAACCUGCCCUUAGGUUCGGAAUACUCCCCGAAAGGGGUGCUAAUACCGGAUAAUGUCUUCGGACCAAAGAUUUAUCGCCUUUGGAUGGGCCCGCGUUGGAUUAGCUAGUUGGUAGGGUAAAAGCCUACCAAGGCGACGAUCCAUAGCUGGUCUGAGAGGAUGAUCAGCCACACUGGGACUGAGACACGGCCCAGACUCCUACGGGAGGCAGCAGUGGGGAAUAUUGGACAAUGGGCGAAAGCCUGAUCCAGCAAUGCCGCGUGAGUGAUGAAGGCCUUAGGGUUGUAAAGCUCUUUUACCCGGGAUGAUAAUGACAGUACCGGGAGAAUAAGCUCCGGCGAACUCCGU
rnacentral:rRNA from 1 species